CCAAUAUGUUUUCUUUUUUAUUACAGUAUGCUUUUUACAUUGUGCUGGGGGCAGAUUUUGACUUCACAACUGGUGACAUGGACACAAUCAGGACAUGGUGGUGCCUGUUGCUCCUGUCUGGUCAUUCAGUUGUCAGGUUUGCACAGAAAAGGAAAUAUGAAGAUC